rnacentral:rRNA from 1 species
GACGAACGCUGGCGGCGUGCUUAACACAUGCAAGUCGAACGGAAAGGCCCUGCUUUUGUGGGGUGCUCGAGUGGCGAACGGGUGAGUAACACGUGAGUAACCUGCCCUUGACUUUGGGAUAACUUCAGGAAACUGGGGCUAAUACCGGAUAGGAGCUCCUGCUGCAUGGUGGGGGUUGGAAAGUUUCGGCGGUUGGGGAUGGACUCGCGGCUUAUCAGCUUGUUGGUGGGGUAGUGGCUUACCAAGGCUUUGACGGGUAGCCGGCCUGAGAGGGUGACCGGCCACAUUGGGACUGAGAUACGGCCCAGACUCCUACGGGAGGCAGAAGUGGGGAAUAUUGCACAAUGGGCGGAAGCCUGAUGCAACAACGCCGCGUGCGGGAUGACGGCCUUCGGGUUGUAAACCGAUUUCGCCUGUGACGAAGCGUGAGUGACGGUAAUGGGUAAAGAAGCACCGGCUAACUCCGUG